rnacentral:lncRNA from 1 species
UGGUGCUGAUGUGCCAAAAGAUUAAGUAUCUCCUUGUUUUAGAGACCUAUAUUGAAGAACAUUUUCAUGAAAUCCUUCAUGGCUCUCAUUUAAAAACUGUCAUCUUAAAAAACAGGUUAGAAUAGAAGGACUGUAUUCUGACUUUAGUCUCCUAAGUGAUUAAUUUAUGAUGACUUUAUUCUUGUAUGUAUUUAAUUUAGUACGAAUUUAUAUUCGUAAGUAAUGAUUUCAUACAAUUUACUUUAUUCUUGUAAAUUCAUAACUUUAAUCUCGAAUUCUUACUUUUUUUUUUCUUAAAGUGGCCCUAAUACUCUGCCGUAGUUUCAUACUGUGCUUCCAAAAAAAAAAAAAAAAACAUACACACAAGCUGGAUCAUCUGAGGGGAAGUCCACAGUUACCGUACCUCUGUUAGUGGGAUCGGAAUUUAGGUUGAUGUACCGACCAACACCAGUCCUUCCUGCCCUCCCAUCUUUUUUGCUUUUUACCUGCCUGUUUCCAUCUAUCUAUUUUUCUUUCCUUCCUAUUCUUUUCUGUCUGUGUAUUUUAUCAAUCUGAUCGCUCUGAUCUUCCUACUCUCAUUGGUCUUUUUCUGACCAUCUGUUUUCUGGCCACAUGUCUAUCUGUUUCUCUAUCUGUGUAUUUGUCCGCCUGUUUUUCUGUCCGUACGUCUGUCUGUCCGGCUCUUUCUAGGAUCAUCUAUCAGACUCUGCUGGUUCCCACAAAUAUUAGGCUACAGGCAGCUAAAUACAGCGCGAGCACACACACACCUUCUCCAUGCUGUCAGUCAGCUGUGAAUGUCUCUAUGAUGAAAUAACAGAAAGUGUUUUUAUAUUCAUAGAGCAAAAAAAAAAAAUAAUAAAUCUGCUCAGCCAAGUUUCUGUGUUUUUAAAAAUAAAUUAUGUUCCAUGUUUCUGUUUUAAAAGCGUAACUGGAUAGCUUUCACAACAACUUUUAAACUACAAUACUAAAAAUAUUAUUUGCUCGAACACCAAAGCAAUUACAACACAUCCAAACCAAAAGGAUUAGUCGCUUUGGAGGUUUCAAUUUUUUUCCUUUAAAACCUUCUAUCAGGAGUUUUAAUCUGGUUAUAUAACACAUUAGUAUCAAUCUGAGGCCUCCAUAUAAUUAAAAAAUAAACAAGAUCAUCCAGUUCUAAAACAUGAACAGGACAGAUAAGCUUUGAAAUACGAGGCAUCACUUUUUCCACAAGGGGGUGCCAAAAUUAAUGCCAGGUUCAUGCAGAAAUUGUCUGUUUCCAAAACUGGAUGUAACUGAAGUCACUUUCCUUGGCUCUAAACCAGUGGUGUAGUCCAGUUUUUUUGUAGUGGGUGUACUCUGACCCCCUCACACCGCUUACACACCCAUCUUGGAAACCCCACCACCCUUCUCAACACAUACUUGGGAGCACUCUGAAAGACCACCAAUUAGGCUGCACUAUAAAUGCACGAAGCUCUAAUGAAGUAAAUGUCUGAAAUUAAUAACAGAGGCUCCAAAUAAUUCAACACACCUUACAAGAGUAUACAAAGUAAUCAGUGUGGAUCUUACAAAGAUUCAGCAGGCAAUUACAACCACUGCAUCUACACACUUUGCACACAUACUACCAAGGCAAAUAUUGUUUACAACUGGAGCACUCCAGCAAUGACUGAACCCAACACGUGCACUGAAGCAGCAGAAAGUUUGCUGGCACACCCACUCACACACAGAUCACCAUAUGAGUCUUAUUUCACCAACUAAACCGCAGAGUCUAAAGUUUAUGGUGCAGAGUAAACUAGAGCAUUUUAGGGCCUAGCAGACCCAAAGAGUCUUUUAUUCAUUAAUAUCUAUGUCACCAAUUUCAAGAAUGUAAUAAAAUAACCCCAAGAUGUUUGUGAGCGUGUCUUUGUUCAUGCAUGUAAUCGAGAGAGUGCACACAAAGCUCGGUGACUUCUCAGGUCAUGUUCACACCAAGCGCUAGUAAAAAUCAUCUAUAUGCGUAAAAUUGACGCGCAAAUGUUGUGUAAUUACUUACCUAAUUCAUGCAAAUAUUCGCCUAAUCUGCGUCAACCAAGUUGAACAUGUCUGACCGCCUCUUUGCGUUGACGUUAUAUGUAAUUCACUCGCCUGGAUGAUUUUACUCAUACUUGGUCUGAAUGUCACUUCAGGCUGCUACAUAGGAGCUGAGCAGGUCUGAGGUUAGGAGGAGAAAGCAGAAAGCAGUAUCGUGAUGUAUAAAAAUAAGGACAUCUCCCAUCGCCAAGUCCUCUAAAGAAUGGAAUUCCACCGUAUCGGCAAAAACGCAGAUAUUUUAUUUCAUGUGAGAGCUUUGCUGUGCGUCUCUGUGUGUAAAUGACAAAGAAAUAUACGCUGUCAGCUCUUACUCUUACCCUCUCACUGAUAAGAAUGUCUCUUAAAUAUCAGGAAAGUACUUCUUAACCUUAAGACUAGGUUUUUGUUGGUCUGGUGCACUUACUGCUUCCUCCAAGAUGCAACACGCCAACAAGGCCCGCCUGUGAUUACUGAGGUCUUCAUGAUGAGUAUGUGAUGCAGAGCAUUAAAUAAUGGUCACUCUUCAUUGGAACCGUCUACCAGUUUUGGGUCAAGUAGGUAGAGACCCUCUCUUCUUUUAAAAUGGCUUGAAAUGAUAGUCUAAUCAGUAACACACCAUAAGCUCUUUAUUGCACAUCCUCCACUGAGUAGUAACACCCUCAUUUAUCACAGGGACACUGCAACUUUACCACAGCACAAUUAAAAACCUAUCCUGUAGCAAUAUCACAACUUCUUUCGUGCCAACUGUCAGGAACAUCGUCUACCACAGAGACAUGGUAAUUUUUCUACUAUGCAGUCAGCAAAUCCUCUGCAUCAGAGAAACUGACACUUUUCUACUGCUCAGACAGCUUUGUCAGCAAAUUUACUUACAUUUGGUUGACUUGACAGUCAACAGCAUCCUCUGCAGAUGAGGGAAUGCGACCCUACUGAUAACUUUUUCUGCAGCAGAAAAAUGAACGCUCUUCUUCUGCAUUGCCAGCAACGUCUUCUGCAAAGUCAUUCCUUCUUUUUUACUGCAUAUCCAGCAACAUGAUCUGCUGCAAAGUCAGUCCAAUUUUUCUAAUUCAAAGUCAGUGUUGUCUACUGUAGCAAACUUACCACUUCUUUCUUACUGCACUGUCGGUAACAUCUCUGAAACAAAGCCACUGCAACUUUUCUACUGCAAAGUCAGACUUCUUUUACAUCUAACACGCAAGCAAGCAACAACAUCUUCUGCAACAAAUUAAAUACCAAUAAAUAUCAACCAGUGCAGAGUUGUUGCAUGUCUUUUGAGGAAUUGCAGCACAUUUACUUUGAGUUAAUUUAUCUCUUCUUCAGUGUAACUGAACUUUCUCUGCAACAUCACUGCUCAUAUUCUGCAGCAGAGUAAUUGCACAUCAUCUCAUGCUGCCCUCCCAUUGAGCAUUUUUUGGUCUAAAAGAGGUCUAAGGCUAUGUUCACACUGCAGGUCAAUUCCGAUUUUUUUAACCAUAUGUGACACAUAUCAGAUUUUUUCAUGUAAGUGUGAACAGUGCAAUUCUGAUUUUUUCAAAUCCGACCCAGGCCUCUUUUGUAUGUGGAUAUAAACCGGAUAUGUAUCCGAUGUGACUGCAGUGUGAACGCUCAGGCGCGUUCAUCCGACCUACACAUCAUCAAUAUGCGACAAACGUCACCAUUGUUCAACAACACAAACAGGCGCGGAAAGCAAUUUGUGCUUUGUGCGCAUGCGGAUCACUUCACGGACGCAUUCCGUUCAUAUUAGAUUCUGCUUUCGUUGCUGUAAUGUGAACAACCGCACAAAAAGAUCAGAUUUAACAAAAAAUCCGAAUUGUGCAUCAUAACUUGCAGUAUGAACGUAGCCUAAUAGACGUCUAAAUGUAACCUAGACAACUGGUCUUAAAUCAGGCUACCACAGGUCUAAAAAUGAAAGUUUUUUAGACCUCUAAAUUUAGACCAAGUUUAGACCAAGUUUAAAUCUGGGCUAUACCUAUACUACACUGUAUAUUGCACAAUGGCUAUCAUAAUUAUUUUGGUUAGAUACUUGGAGAUCAGUUACACAACUCACAGUUGCUUUUUGAAACAAAUAGUUAUCGAUUAAUUCCUUCAAAAAAUAUAUAGAAUCUAGACGGUGGUCUAAAAAAACUAGAUGUCCAAUAGCCGUCUAUUGCUCAGUGGGCUAUUACAUACAACUACCAGUUCUUCUGCUGCAGAUCCACCAAACAUCUCCCACCGCUAAGUCGCUGCAUAUCUUCUGCAUCCCCUUUACUCAAGAGCCAUUGCAUACACUGUACAACCAUCUUACUCCACAUCAUUUACUGCAGAGCCAAUGCUUGCCAUAAACUAUCAAUGUUAACAGGUGAGUUGCAAACAAACCUGGGCUGUUGCUCACCAGCAUGCAGCCUCUGGUUCUUUCAGGUACCACAGUAUAUCUUCAGUGUGUGCAGCAGUUUCCAGAGACAGUGUCAGAUAUUCAGGUUUACCCAUCAGCAGUCAAAUCAGUCUCCAUGAUCAGCUGCCUAUACCAUGAAACAUUGCUGCACUGACAUCUCAGAAGUGGCAGCUGUCACUUCUUCUGACAGGUGCCUUGGUAUCUGGCCAGCAGCUACAGCAGGUGCCCCCGAAUACAGACCCCUCUAAUGGCUUCCUCUUGCAGAUCAUGUUAGGUCCAAAACCACAGACAGCUUACAGUAUUCAGCCAGUGGGUGUGGCAUGUGGCACAAGCAUCUGCAGCCACCACAGUGCUUCACAAAGGGCCAUAACUGGAGACACGCACAGUCUUAACUACCCCAAUCACAAACUGUGGUAUCAGAGAGAUAUUUCAAACAGCAAAGACCUCAGACCAGGAAAUGGACUAAAGCAGGAGUCAAAGAGCCGGAACAGGGUACUCAGACCUGAUAUUUGAGGACACCAUGUGAAGUAUUUGUACCCACAGAGGGUGACUGCAGUGGCUCCACUCCAUGCAUAACAUCAUUAAAGCGUCCAACAGGAAGGAACUCUAGUGACAAGGCCAGACCAGGCACCAACAUGGAUGUGGACCAGCUCGGCCCAGGUGCCCAAGGUGAUCUGAUUUAAUUAAAGCUAUUCUGGACAACGAGUAGUCCAGAAAGAGAAAUAAAAAUACAAAAUACAAGAUAAUGUAAUUCAGUCCGGUUUUCAUCUGUAUCAAACUCCCAGUCUGUGUCGUCAAUAACUUCUGAAUAUGAUAAGGAUAACUUGGAUCAAAUAGAUCAGGACUUUUUAGACCAGAUUACAGGAAUAGAUUGCAGAAAAAUCCUCUGAUUGAGUCACAACAUUUCAAACAUGAAGAUGAUGAUUAAAACCAACAUUACUUAACUCUUGAUUUGCUAAAUUGCCAGAGAAAUGGUGAAUUAAGUCCGAAUGGGGAUAUCAAGGGUUCGGUCUAAAUAAAAUAAUUGACCAAAUAGCAUCAGUAUCAGAGAAAAAAAAUACAUGCCAAAGUCAUUGCCAGGCUGUUUUGACGAAGCAAGAGAAAGACGAGACUGUAAGUUUUGUUCAAUGGUGGUGUAACAGAGGAUCAAGAGGUGGAUUUAUGGUCGGAUUUGUUUCUACAAAUGGAGGAAAAAAAACAACUUUAUAAGCUCAAUAUUCAGUCUGAUGGGACUAAAACAAAGAUUUGUUGAAAGGGGAAGGCAAAUUGUAAUCAAUAAUUUACAACCAUCAGCACUGUCAACAACAAACAAAACGUACAGAGACUUUGUAUCAAUAAUAAGUGCUCAGAAAGAGUGUGGACAGUUUUAGUUAGAUAUCUCAAAACAUCUUUCUCCACCAUUCAUCAGACUCCAUUUAGACAUUUCAACAUGUAUGAACAUAUCCUUCAUAUCUGAACACACAUGUAUAACAAACACCUGAACACACAACUGACCGAUCACACAAACAAACAUAAAAAUGGAUCAUAUAUGAUAAUAAAGUCUUACUCUGUGCAGCUGCUGACGAUCCAUUCACUGCUUUAAAUGAAGGUGUCUUUAUGUGUGUAGGUGUGUGUGUGUGGAACGUGAGUGUUGGCAUGUUUGUGUGUGAGGGUGUGUGUAUGCUUGUGCUUCCAUCACUAACAUGUCAUUUAGCCACUUGUCCUGGUGAUAACAGGCGCCACACAGAGACUCAGAGAGUCUCACUGCAACAACAUCGGACACAGUGACGUUAUCACCUGAAGAUGGCGCCAGAGGAAAUUCAAAUUCACAGAAAAAUGCAAAAUGAAUAACAAAUAUUGCAUGAGCUGAUAGCUGCAACUUUGCAUUAUUAAAAACCUAAACUGUGACAGUAUCAAAAGUCAAGGUAAAUUAACUUAAGGUGAGCUGUUGGUCUAUAAAUAACAAAUACAUGCAAACUUAACAUGAGAAACCCCCCCCAAAAUUCUGACUUAAACAAUUCCAUAGUGUUCUAAUUCAUGCCAUUGAGUAGCAAUUGUAUACGUAUAUCUAUACCAUAGACUGUAUAUACUAUGGACAACUUUACCUAGACAAACAUGUAAUUAUGCUAAUAUUUUACCAAUGCACUUCUAAUGUACCCUAGGGGUCAGUAUUAGGCCCACUUUUAGUACAUCAUGAACAAGCAUGGUGUUAUUUCGUCUUUAUGCAGAUGAUACUCAGUUAUACCCGCCUGUUAGACACACCUGUUAGACCCUGGCAUGCUACACUCUGUAAACAAUUGUCUGAGAUUCUAAUUAAACAAAGAUUACUUUGACCACACCUGAACACCUGACAAAGCAAAUACUGUCACCUUCUGGUAAAGCUUCGGUGCAUAUCGUCACCUUAUUAAAAUAAUGGCCCAAGUCAUUUCUUGACGAAAAUGAGUUUUUGGUCCAAAUCAUCUGUUGAGAUGAUUUAGAGAUGAUUUAGGCCAAAAACUGAUUUUCAUCAAGAAAUAACGAUAUCAAACCUUGGCUUCUAGAUUGACAGUGAUCUAUCACUGGAGGAGCCCAAAUCAAAGCUAGCACAGUCAUGUUUUCAUCAUCUCAGGAAUAUUUUCAAAAGAUAUAGAAUAAUUUGACAUGCUUUUAUGUCAUCACACCUAGAUUAUUUCAAAAGUAUUUUUUAUCUGCCUGCAACUUAAAUCAAUUAAUCGACUCCAGAUUGUUCAUAACUCAGCUGCCAGGGCUUAAACCAGUGCUCAGGACAUGCUAGGCUAUACGUUUCCUUACUGUUUCCAGUCUUAAAGAUGGGUUAUGCUGACAUAUUCCCUCUGUAUGUCUCACUAUCUCAUUUUUUUAAUAUCUGUGACUGAAGCAGUGUUGCAACCGCCAUGCAUGUUUACAUUCUACGGUCUCAUGGCAUGCCUAGUUGAAGUGACAGCAGAGCUUGCAAAAUACUUUUGUAGUACAUGGUGAUUCAGCUGGAAAUCCAUGCACAUGCUUGAGUGAAAUGAGGUGUUGAUUAAACUAUAAAAUAAUACUGAGCUGCUAUUUCACACCACUAAUAGUGUAUUGUUGGAGCUAUUAUAGAUAUUGAGGUCAUGGUACCUGAAGUUUUGUUUAAUUUCCAAGUACAAACUUCGACUUCAGGGGGCGUCCAGGAUGAAGUUUCCAACAGGCAUCCCCAAUCAUCAAAUGGUUAUCCCCCGCUCCAGGUCUAUACUAAAGGCUAGGGUAACAGUUUCUCCAUGCUCUGUCUCUGUGCCAAGCUUGACUAAAAGCUGCCUCACCAGUACAAGUGUGUGUGCUCAUCCAGGCUGAGGUUCCCCUUUACUUUCAGUCUUUGUGCUAAACUAAACGAAGCUAACUAUCUGUCUUCAACUCACAGAGCAAAAGCAACCAACUCACAACCAACUCUCCCCCAGAGAAAUAAAGCCGUCUUUUUCACAGAAGGACAGGCAGGUGACAUGACAUGACACACACACACACACACACACACACACACACACACACACACACACACACACACACACACACACACACACACACACACACACACACAGCUGUUAUCGGUGUUGUUGUUCCGGCAGAGUGUGAUGUUGUGUCACACUGAUAAAGAAAAGUCAUUCUGCUUUCAGUGUGUGUGUGUGUGUGUGUGUGUGUGUGUGUGCUUGCAACUGUAGAACCACAGAAUGUUGUUGGACACAGUCAGAGACGCCCGGCAUUUCCUCUCCUCUGUCAGCUCUGCACGCUAAAAUAAAAUGAUCCGACGAACGAAUGUGUGUGUUUUUGUGUAUGUGUGUGUGAUAAGGUGUGUGUGUUGCAAAAAGUGAAUGACAGACUACAGCUGAUACCCUCCUGCAGUAAGGAUGAUUUCAAUAAUCCUGUAAACAGACCAGAGUCCAUAAAUUAUCUUCGUGUCUUAAGUUAAUUUCAAGAUGUAGUGUUCAAACAUGUUAAUUAUCUGACAGAUGUCAAAUAUGUACUACUAACUAUCUCAAUUAAAACCAGCUAGUUGUCAGCUGUAUUAACACACCGAGCUGAACAUCAACACUCAGAUAGUAUGAGGGGAUUAUGGUGUCAUGGUGUAAUGUGAUGAAUCUGGUCAGGUGAAUAUAACUCCAACUCCACAAGAGUCAGGAGGCUGUGUCAAAUGUUGAUAAAAAAAACUCUGUUGGAUGGUUCGCAAGUAAUUGAAAGUCAGUAUUUAAUUGAAAAUAGUGCAAAAAGAACUAGCAUGUGUGGCGCUAGCAUGGCUCUGUAGAAGAAGUAACCCUGACCCUAACCCG